AGAUGUUAGCUCAGGGCUAAUCUUCCUCAAAAAAAAAAAACAAUCCUGCUAUAAGCUCAAAGUGGCCACAAGGUCUCCUGAUGUCAGUUUAUUAACAGUUUAUUUAGGCUUUCGGCAACUACAGCCUUGAAUUAGAUGAGUCUAUUAACUUUCAUUUUGGAGUGGAGAUCAUGCUAGCUGUGAGGGUUUUAAGAUAGGGAUUUCUCUGUCCCAUGAACGUUUAGUAAAACUUCACCUGUGAAACCAGGUGUGAAUUUUGGUAAGAAAUAAUGUGGAUGUAAACAAAGACUGCCUGCGUGAGGACCGGCAGAGGCGGUGUACUCAGGGCUUCCGAGCAGGGAGACGGAGGAGGGCGACAGCGUCACGGUGAGGAAGGGCGGGCUCAGGUGUGCCCCAGGAGAGGCUGGGGAAACUGCAGGCGGCUAACUAGAGGGGGUGCAACCUAUGCCAUGGGUUAGCGGGGCAUGCCUGACCUUCUCUGGUUGGCCGAGUCCCAAGUGGAGGCGGAAAUUAGGGAAGCUGGCAGCUGUUGACCGAGUCCUGGCCGUUUGGGGCGGGUCGCUGCACAGGCUGCUGGCCAGAGUCCCGUUGUCAUAUGUAGCCAUUGUCCGGUCGUAUAUUCAGUCUCUCUCUAUUCUUCUAGAACAUUAUCCGCUUCAUCUUACCUUUCAAAUGGAUUGGCAUCAAGUUGUUUGUAAUAUUCCCUUAUAAUUUUAGCCUCUAAUAUUGGUUUUGUCUGUUCUCUCACUCACAUCUCCUCUCUUUUUUCUUGGCUGGUCAUUUGCAUAUUUGAUGCGUCUUUUUACAGAACCAGUUUUGAGUCUUGUGCAUCAGGUUCUGUUUCAUUAGCGUCUGUUCUCGUCUUUAGCAUUUCCUCCCUCCGUCUCCCCUGGGUUCGCUCUGUUCUGUUUGUAGCUGCUGUGUCAAAUGCUUAGCGACGUUUUCAGCCCUUUCGGCUCCGCAAUGAACGCGUUUCAGGCCGCGGUCUGCCCUCUCCCCGGUGCUUCUGCUGCGUCCACAAACGCGGGCCGUGUGCUUUCACCUCCGGUGACCGCCGUCUACACAGAGAAGCCCCCAAGGACACACCACAGCCCACCUCUGAGGAGCAGGAGGGGAGGGCGUGGACGGCGUGAGGGACACUGCACACUCCCUGAAGACAGCAGCAGCCUCUUGGUGCUGAAAGGUUUUGGUGAAACU